rnacentral:rRNA from 1 species
CUUAACACAUGCAAGUCGAGCGGGGGAAGUUGCUUCGGUAACUGACCUAGCGGCGGACGGGUGAGUAAUACUUAGGAAUCUGCCUAUUAAUGGGGGACAACAUCUCGAAAGGGAUGCUAAUACCGCAUACGCCCUACGGGGGAAAGCAGGGGAUCACUUGUGACCUUGCGUUAAUAGAUGAGCCUAAGUCGGAUUAGCUAGUUGGUGGGGUAAAGGCCUACCAAGGCGACGAUCUGUAGCGGGUCUGAGAGGAUGAUCCGCCACACUGGGACUGAGACACGGCCCAGACUCCUACGGGAGGCAGCAGUGGGGAAUAUUGGACAAUGGGGGGAACCCUGAUCCAGCCAUGCCGCGUGUGUGAAGAAGGCCUUAUGGUUGUAAAGCACUUUAAGCGAGGAGGAGGCUCUUUUGGUUAAUACCCAAGAAGAGUGGACGUUACUCGCAGAAUAAGCACCGGCUAACUCUGUGCCAGCAGCCGCGGUAAUACAGAGGGUGCGAGCGUUAAUCGGAUUUACUGGGCGUAAAGCGUGCGUAGGCGGCUUUUUAAGUCGGAUGUGAAAUCCCCGAGCUUAACUUGGGAAUUGCAUUCGAUACUGGGAAGCUAGAGUAUGGGAGAGGAUGGUAGAAUUCCAGGUGUAGCGGUGAAAUGCGUAGAGAUCUGGAGGAAUACCGAUGGCGAAGGCAGCCAUCUGGCCUAAUACUGACGCUGAGGUACGAAAGCAUGGGGAGCAAACAGGAUUAGAUACCCUGGUAGUCCAUGCCGUAAACGAUGUCUACUAGCCGUUGGGGUCUUUGAGACUUUAGUGGCGCAGCUAACGCGAUAAGUAGACCGCCUGGGGAGUACUGUCGCAAGACUAAAACUCAAAUGAAUUGACGGGGG